UGGGGAAUAUUGCACAAUGGGCGAAAGCCUGAUGCAGCAACGCCGCGUGAGUGAUGAAGGCCUUCGGGUUGUAAAGCUCUGUCUUCUGGGACGAUAAUGACGGUACCAGAGGAGGAAGCCACGGCUAACUACGUGCCAGCAGCCGCGGUAAUACGUAGGUGGCAAGCGUUGUCCGGAUUUACUGGGCGUAAAGGAUGCGUAGGCGGAUACUUAAGUCAGAUGUGAAAAUCCCGGGCUUAACUUGGGAACUGCAUUUGAAACUGGGUAUCUAGAGUGCGGGAGAGGAAAGUGGAAUUCCUAGUGUAGCGGUGAAAUGCGUAGAGAUUAGGAAGAACACCAGUGGCGAAGGCGACUUUCUGGACAAUAACUGACGCUGAGGCUCGAAAGCGUGGGGAGCAAACA
rnacentral:rRNA from 1 species